rnacentral:rRNA from 1 species
CAGCAGCCGCGGUAAUACGGAGGGUGCAAACGUUGCUCGGAAUCAUUGGGCGUAAAGCGCGCGUAGGCGGCUGAACAAGUUGGAUGUGAAAGCCCUGGGCUCAACCUAGGAUGUGCAUUCAAAACUGUUCGGCUUGAGUCUCGGAGGGGGUCAGAGAAUUCUCGGUGUAGAGGUGAAAUUCGUAGAUAUCGGGAGGAACACCAGUGGCGAAGGCGCUGACCUGGACGAUGACUGACGCUGAGGCGCGAAAGCGUGGGGAGCAAAACAGGAUUAGAUACCCUGGUAGUCCAACGCCGUAAACGAUGAGUGCUAGACGCUGGCGGAUUGACCCCGUCGGUGUCGAAGCUAACGCGUUAAGCACUCCGCCUGGGGAGUACGGUCGCAAGACUAAAAACUCAAAGGAAUUGACGGGGG